rnacentral:rRNA from 1 species
GACGAACGCUGGCGGCGUGCCUAAUACACGCAAGUCGAACGCAUUUUCUUUCACCGUAGCUUGCUACACCGAAAGAAAAUGAGUGGCGAACGGGUGAGUAACACGUGGGUAACCUGCCCAUCAGCGGGGGAUAACACUUGGAAACAGGUGCUAAUACCGCAUAAUUCCAUUUACCGCAUGGUAGAUGGGUGAAAGGCGCUUUUGCGUCACUGAUGGAUGGACCCGCGGUGCAUUAGCUAGUUGGUGGGGUAACGGCCUACCAAGGCUGCGAUGCAUAGCCGACCUGAGAGGGUGAUCGGCCACACUGGGACUGAGACACGGCCCAGACUCCUACGGGAGGCAGCAGUAGGGAAUCUUCGGCAAUGGACGCAAGUCUGACCGAGCAACGCCGCGUGAGUGAAGAAGGUUUUCGGAUCGUAAAACUCUGUUGUUAGAGAAGAACAAGGAUGAGAGUGGAAAGUUCAUCCCUUGACGGUAUCUAACCAGAAAGCCACGGCUAACUACGUG